rnacentral:rRNA from 1 species
UACGGGGGGGGCAAGCGUUGUUCGGAAUUACUGGGCGUAAAGGGCUCGUAGGUGGCCAACUAAGUCAGACGUGAAAUCCCUCGGCUUAACCGGGGAACUGCGUCUGAUACUGGGAGGCUUGAGUGCGGGAGAGGGAUGUGGAAUUCCAGGUGUAGCGGUGAAAUGCGUAGAUAUCUGGAGGAACACCGGUGGCGAAGGCGGCAUCCUGGACCGAGAUUGACGCUGAGGCGCGAAAGCGUGGGGAGCAAACAGG